AUGCUUCUAAGCAAGUUUUGUUGGUUUUAGACUCUUUUGGCAGAAAAUGGGUAUAAGUGUUGUCUAAACACUCCGAAUUCAUCUAUAAGUCUUAUAAUUAGUCAAAUGCUUUGGAUUAUGACACAUUAUGACCAUAGAAACACUAACAAAGCUAUUUACUCCUUCUAAGCAAUAUUAUGUUGGUUAUAGCUUCUUUUGAGAGAAAAUGGGUAUAAGUGUUCUCUAAACACUCUUAAUCAAACU
rnacentral:sRNA from 1 species